GACGAACGCUGGCGGCGUGCCUAGUACAUGCAAGUAGAACGCUGAAGGAGGAGCUUGCUUCUCCGGAUGAGUUGCGAACGGGUGAGUAACGCGUAGGUAACCUGCCUGGUAGCGGGGGAUAACUAUUGGAAACGAUAGCUAAUACCGCAUAACAGUAGAUAUUGCAUGAUAUCUGCUUGAAAGGUGCAAUUGCAUCACUACCAGAUGGACCUGCGUUGUAUUAGCUAGUUGGUGAGGUAACGGCUCACCAAGGCGACGAUACAUAGCCGACCUGAGAGGGUGAUCGGCCACACUGGGACUGAGGCACGGCCCAGACUCCUACGGGAGGCAGCAGUAGGGAAUCUUCGGCAAUGGACGGAAGUCUGACCGAGCAACGCCGCGUGAGUGAAGAAGGUUUUCGGAUCGUAAAGCUCUGUUGUAAGAGAAGAACGAGUGUGAGAGUGGAAAGUUCACACUGUGACGGUAUCUGACCAGAAAGGGACGGCUAACUACGUG
rnacentral:rRNA from 1 species